rnacentral:tRNA from 1 species
AGGCUAUUAGCUUAAAUGGCAGAGCAAUGUAAAUUAUGUACAUGGUGUGGGCUCAAAUCCCGCAUAACUUA